GACGUAGGGCGCGAGCGUUGUCCGGAUUUAUUGGGCGUAAAGAGCUCGUAGGCGGCUUGUCGCGUCGACUGUGAAAACCCGUGGCUCAACCAUGUGGUCUGCAGUCGAUACGGGCAGGCUAGAAUUCGGUAGGGGAGACUGGAAUUCCUGGUGUAGCGGUGAAAUGCGCAGAUAUCGGGAGGAACACCGGUGGCGAAGGCGGGUCUCUGGACAGUUCCUGACGCUGAGGCACGAAGGCCAGGGGAGCAAACGGG
rnacentral:rRNA from 1 species